GCCGCUGUAGCCCAGUUGGUAGAGGCGUCGUCAGUACAGAUGACGAAGGUCGCUGGUUCAAAUCCAGCCUGCGGUG